rnacentral:lncRNA from 1 species
CAUCCAUGGAGCCAAGGAGUAAGGUGACAAUGGAAAGAAGGCCCUCACAUGGGCAAUUAACCUUUGCUAAGCAAAUAGGUGCUUCAAAGGUAUAAAAUUUCUCAACUCACUUUGUUCUUGAGUUGAGUCUUGGUUCACAUAACUACUAGGUUUUGAAUUUCAUGGGUAAUGUUUUGUUUUUGAGUGCAUACAUGCAUGAUUCCGCCUUUAAUUGUUAAUUGCAUGCCAUAGAUGUUGCUCAAAUGAACAUGUUUUUUACAAAAUUUCCUUCAAGUGGUAUGAAGAGCCUAGGUCUAGUUGGUGAAUCCUUUUGGGUUUUGUAUUUUCGUAGUUUAUGAUUUGAAUGUUGUAAUUGUUACAAGCUUUAUUCUUGCUUCUUUGAAUGUAAAUUUUGUUAGAAAAUUUGCUAUCUCAAAUGUUGUAGAUGUAGUUCAUAUGAGCAUGAAUUUUGGAGCUAAAAUUUGGUGCCAUGUUUUUGGGGAAAUUCUGCCAAAUCCAAAGGGUGGAUUUUUGGGUUCAUGUUUGUCUUGUUAAAAGUGUUUUAAAGUGACAUUAGGAACCCCUAAGUACCCUAGUAUGGUAAUAUGUUUUUUCCCUUAAGUUUGAGAGUUUUUGGGGUGUCUUUGGGUGAAAAAUGUUCAUGGAGCUCUUAUGGGUUUUCAUGGAUGUUCUUCAUUGUUCUUGUUAUGUUUUUGGCAAGAACAAAAAGGUUGGGUAUUUUGAUUCAAAGUUUUUGGUUGUUUACAUAAAGUUUUUGUUAGUGAUGGAUGGUUUGAAUUUUCAAUCAAUACCCAUACCUUUUCUACUAUUCACAUCAUACCAAUCACUUAUACAUUUUCCUUGUUUCAAGGAAUCAUGUUUUAUGGAAAUCACUUUUUCAAACCUACUCAUCACCUUUUACUUUUGUUGAAAAAUUCAAAAGUUUUAUGACACCCUCUCUCAUCCAAAAUCGGCCACCCUAUUAAAUAUGAUACUUUUGAGGCUUUUAUGCAAUUACAUAAAGUUUUGAUACUUUUGUGUAUUUGUACUUUGACCCGAAAUUUUACAUUUUUACGUAAAGGCCCAAAAUCACUAAAGGACAAAAUGUUUUGCUCCUUUAAUGAAGUUUUUGUAUUUUGAUGAAAUUUUUGGGUUCUAGUUGUAGUUACAUGAAGUAGUGGACUUUUUUGUUUUUACAAAGUGACCUCAAAAGUUUGUGUUUUGCAAUAUAGCCCAAUGGUUGAGGUUAUUGUUUUCGGCCCAAAUUAGUUGAGAACAAAAUAGUUUUGUAUCUUUAAAUGAGAAUUGGAUUUCCAUUUCAUUUAGCUCCAUUUAAAUCAAUUCUAUGGAUACAAAAACCAAAUGAAAAUGUUGCAUUCAAGUUUAAUUAGUUAAAGCGUUAAUUAAUUAAAGAUGAUUAUAAACCUAAGCCUACGAUAAUUGAGCUAUGUGAAAGACCGUCUCAAAUUUGUUUGAACCAUGGGAACGUGUAGAUUAGAUUUUGGUUGU